rfam:Oryza sativa (indica cultivar-group) chromosome 5, whole genome shotgun sequence.
AAUAAGUGCAGCCAUAAGUUUCAGCACCCAAUUUUGUCCGUCUUAUUUAAAUUUUUUUUAUAAUUAGCAAUUUUGUUGUUAUAAGAUGAUAAAACAUGAAUACUACUUUACUUGUGACUUAUAUUUUUAAUUUUUUUUAAUAAGAUGAGUGGUCAAAGUUGGGCGUGGAAAACCAUAGCUGCACUUAUU